rfam:Candidatus Beckwithbacteria bacterium RIFCSPHIGHO2_12_FTLL_47_17 rifcsphigho2_12_scaffold_17749, whole genome shotgun sequence.
GCGCCCAUAGUUUAAUGGAUAAAACUUUGGAUUGCGGAUCCAAGAAUAAAGGUUCGAUUCCUUUUGGGCGCA